rnacentral:rRNA from 1 species
UCGAGAAUCUUCGGCAAUGGGCGCAAGCCUGACCGAGCGACGCCGCGUGUGGGAUGAAGGCCUUCGGGUUGUAAACCACUGUCAGAGGGGAUGAAAUGCAGGUGGGUUCUCCCAUCUGUUUGACAUAGCCUCAGAGGAAGGACGGGCUAAGUUCGUGCCAGCAGCCGCGGUAAGACGAACCGUCCAAACGUUAUUCGGAAUCACUGGGCUUAAAGGGUGCGUAGGCGGCGCGGCAAGUUGGGUGUGAAAU